AUGAUACAAUACCUCUCAGGUUUGCUGAGUAGCAAAGAGAAAUUGCCUCUCCUAUUAAAGGAAAAUUGUGACUGUGAGGAAUCUGCCUAGGAG
rnacentral:lncRNA from 1 species